rnacentral:piRNA from 1 species
GGAGAUGAAGAGGACAGAAACUG